GUAUGUUUCAGCUGGUAACAGUGGAUGUAUGAAGAAAAUAAGAAAAUAAGGACUUUGGUCGCCCAAGAAGAAAGUGGUUUUUAAGGAUGAGGAUAUGCAGAGCUUGAUCCAUCAACAGGGGGAAAUCCAAUUAACGUACAUGAGCAUUUGAAGGAUUCAAUAGAAUAACUACUCCAGUGUUCCAAGCAUGCACGCCUUCUACUUUUGCAUGGACUUACUUAUGGACCUUUAAGAAAACGGAUUUGAGUGCAUAUUGUGUUUCACUUCAAAAUAAAUGUGUGUGCACAAACAUGCAAGAGAUACAAGAAUGCAAUAGAACUAUCUGAAAGCGACUGACGGAAAUUAACAAGGAUGAUCAAUCAGCAUGCCAUCUGUGCCAAAAUAAAACUGAACGGUUAACAAAAGGUGUGUCGGAUCUGAAAAUUCGAGUGGAAAACCUCUUUUCAUCCUUAAAUUACACACAAAAACAUCAAUCGGAGAUCGAAAGUAGAUUAACAGAUAUUCAGUUACAAAUGUGUGCUAUACAAAAUAAUGUGCAUAAAUCCGGCUCAGAUCCAACAACAGCAUGUGGAUGGCAUUGUGGUAUACAUUAUUGAAACGGGAGUUGUCGGACAGACGAAGCAAUAUUUCCUCCCAAUCAACGAAGAGAUAUGGAAAGCAUUGUCUCGGAACGCUUUAAAUGGAGUAUUAGACCGAACACGACGUAUACGAGGGGUCGUGUCAGUCCUCUGUGUGGACAUAUCGGAGAGUAUGUCGACUGGUAAUGCAUGGGGACAGGCUAACAUGUUCGUGAAUGAUUUUCUGACCGGUUUAGAGGAAGGUAAAUCAAAGGAGGACAGGAUAUUUAAAGGAAGGUAAAUCAAAGGAUGACAGGAUAUUAGACGAAUAUGUUGCUUUGGUAACCUUUGGACACGGGACAAAAAUACAACAGGUUUUGACAAAUGACUACAAUGACAUUCGCUGUCAGAUAGAAAGCAUAGCGUUAAGCGGACCAAGCCCUCUUAACGGUGGUUUAUCUAUUGGCCAUGCAUGCGCAAUAAGUGCAUAUGAAAACGCUCCUAGUUUUCACGGACUAAUUUUGACACCAAAACUAAUUGUCAUUACUGAUGGACGUCCAACGGAAACCAGGCUAAUCGCCGGACCAGAUUUUCAGGAUGAAAGUCAUAUGGAAGAGAUUUUGUCAGAUGUGGCAACAGCAGUUCGAGAGAUCGACAUAUCAAAUAAUCACAUUCUUUUCAUCGGUGUUGGUGAUUAUAAUUAGUCUUUUAUAGAAAACACUUCUGCAAUCAUUGCAUCUAAACACUACACUUUCAAAGAUGGGCGAAGGCUUGCUAAACAUGGAUAUUUUGAGAUUACCAGAAAACCUGAAUCAAUUAAUAAUUUGAAGAACACAUGUCGAGAUCCAUAAUAUUUGGUAAUGAGCAUAGUAUAAGAUGUCCUAAUUAUUUGGUGUUGUGCCUUGUCUGAGAUCUGCAUACUCAGAAUCUGCAAAGAAGCUUUGCAACAUGUGCAUAUCUUCUGAAAACACAUAUACUCACUUUUGACUUCACAAGGAUACAAGUUGGCAGUCAAUACAUCUACAGACCUAUCGGCAGAAGACACGGAUGAUAUCCGCUAUUGUCGGUCGGACACAAUAAGGCAUUUAGAAAAAGAUUUAGGAUGUUUGUUUCAAGAAAACAAAGACACAAACCUUCCAGAGCUUGGUACCCGGGUUCGAAUGCAACAAGAUGACACAAGAAGAACAUUUGACCUCAAUGGACCGGGAACUGUUGUAGGACAUUUAGGUAAUGGUCUACUUAUUUAAUUAUUGUAUUAGAAAAAAGAAGUGCUAUCGUAACACCAUUACCCACAAUGCAAAAGAUGGAGCGGUUUUGGUAACAUUGUAUUUAAAUGAUUUCACAUCUCAAUACCGAUACGGCAAUGAAGUUGGUGAAGUUCAGACUAUUCAUGAACCUAGAAUAAUAAAUUCUGGCGAACUUCUGGUGGCUGGGUGCAUAGUAAAACCAGGUCCAGAUUUUGAUUAUAAGUUACACGGUAUAGACCCUUCUAUCCGUGGAGUCGUUCUAAGAGUGUACGAACAGUUGGCAAUGUUUCAGAUGCAGCUCGGCAAAUAGUACUCGAUGCGGAUGAAUGACUUCGAACCGAUCCGUUCAAGAGACCUGUCACUUUAAUAUAAAUUGAACACGAUAAACCCGAUGAAAAGAUAUAAUCUAAACUACGAAAUACAGUAGUUUUUACCUUUUCAUUAAUUGGAAUACACAUGGACAUGUGUAUUAGGGAAAACUUAAUUCCAUUUAUGUUAACCUGCACUUGUUUGACCAAAAUAAUUAUAUUGAUAGUAAUACCCAGUGCACAACGUAAGCAUUUGGCGUAUUUUAUUGUGGCGUAUUGAUAUUAUAUCGUGUUUUAAUUUCACCGAAUGUUUGUAUUUAUAAACACAUACUCGGAAAACUUACAAGACGGUCAAAACAGGUUUAUAUCCGAAACGGAUAAGAAAAAAAUGACGUUGGUAAUACUAAAGAGGUGUGGCAUAGAGUAUUCACAAUAUAUAUAACAACAGUACCGGGGGUACUUAACACAAAUAAAUAGAUACACUUA